UACAGAGGGUGCGAGCGUUGUCCGGAAUCACUGGGCGUAAAGGGCGCGUAGGUGGCGCUGCAAGUCGGUGGUGAAAGCUCGAUGCUUAACAUCGAGUCGGCCAUCGAAACUGCAGGGCUCGAGCACUGUAGGGGCAGAUGGAAUUCCGGGUGUAGCGGUGGAAUGCGUAGAGAUCCGGAGGAACACCAGCGGCGAAGGCGGCGUCCUGGACUGGUACUGACGCUCAGGAGCGAAAGCGUGGGGAGCGAUCCGG
rnacentral:rRNA from 1 species